ensembl:rRNA 5S_rRNA 5S ribosomal RNA
GUUAACAGCCAUGCUACCCUGAACACGCCCAAUGCCAUCUGACCUUGGAAGCUAAGCAGGGUUGGGCCUGGUUAAUACUUGGUUGGGAGACCACCUAGGAAGAUCAGGUACUGUAGGUG